rnacentral:lncRNA from 10 species
UCAACAACAACAAGGCCUUAUGCAUGUGAAUAUGUGACUUUGUAUGGUUGUAAGAGCCUAGAGAAAAACUUUUAUGAAUCGAAGGGGUCAUGCACUCUUGGUUUAUUAGAGAGAAGAGGGGGAAAGGCCAAAGGAAGAGAAAAAAUAUUUUAAAAGCUGUUUUUAAUUGUGGGGCUCUUCUUUAUUUUCUUUUAUCUACAGCUUUUUACCAUUUAUGUAAAAUUAUGUGUGUGUCUGUACAUAGCCACAGAGGGCUAUGAAGAGAGAAUGCCAGCAGGCUCUAAAGAUUUUUAAAAUAUACAAUAAAUGCCAUUUAAACUAGGGAAAGGCUGGGGAGAAAGGGAAACUAAUGUAAAAUUUUUAAGUAGACCUGGAUUCUGGACUCAUUAAAUACAUUUUAGGGGUAACUAGCUCUCUGAAACCUUGUUUUUGUAUCUGAAAUCAAAGUGUUGAAUCAGAUGAACUCUCUGGAUGUUGAUGCUGUGAAAUGUCACAUUCUCAGAUCAUCUCUGUGGUUGGCAUGACUUGAAACAAA